rnacentral:rRNA from 1 species
AAAGCGCGCGUAGGUGGUUUAUUAAGUUGGGUGUGAAAUUCCCGGGCUCAACCUGGGAACUGCAUCCAAAACUGAUUCACUAGAGUACGAUAGAGGGAGAUAGAAUUCACAGUGUAGCGGUGGAAUGCGUAGAUAUUGUGAAGAAUACCAAUGGCGAAGGCAGCCUGCUGGAUCUGUACUGA